UACAGAGGUCUCGAGCGUUGUUCGGAUUCAUUGGGCGUAAAGGGUGCGUAGGUGGCGCUGUAAGUCGGGUGUGAAAUCCUGAGGCUUAACCUCGGAACUGCAUUCGAUACUGCGGUGCUUGAGGACUGGAGAGGAGACUGGAAUUCAUGGUGUAGCAGUGAAAUGCGUAGAGAUCAUAAGGAAGACCAGUGGCGAAGGCGGGUCUCUGGACAGUUCCUGACACUGAGGCACGAAGGCCAGGGGAGCAAACGGG
rnacentral:rRNA from 1 species